AAGCUAUACUUUCAGGAAUCAUUUCUAUAGUAUCCAACUAGAGAAAUGCACUCAAACACUGGAAGCUUUCAAGAAGAGAUUGGACUGCCGUUUGUCAGAAAUGGUGUAGAGUGUCCUGCUUCGGCAUGGGGUUAGGCUAGAUGACCUACAAGGUCUUUCCAACUCUGUUAAUCUAAAAGUGAUCUGA
rnacentral:snoRNA from 1 species